rnacentral:rRNA from 1 species
UACAGAGGGGGCAAGCGUUAUUCGGAAUUAUUGGGCGUAAAGGGCGCGUAGGCGGUCAGCACAAGUCAGUUGUGAAAUCUCCGGGCUUAACUCGGAAAGGUCAACUGAUACUGUGCGACUAGAGUGCGGAAGGGGCAACUGGAAUUCUCGGUGUAGCGGUGAAAUGCGUAGAUAUCGAGAGGAACACCUGCGGCGAAGGCGGGUUGCUGGGCUGACACUGACGCUGAGGCGCGAAAGCUAGGGGAGCGAACGGG